AGCAGCCGCGGUAAUUCCAGCUCCAAUAGCGUAUAUUAAAGUUGUUGCAGUUAAAAAGCUUGUAGUUGAAUUUCGGGGUCAGUAGAUUGGUCGUGCCUCUGGUAUGUACUGGUCUUACUGGCUCCUCCUUCCUGAUGAACCGUAAUGCCAUUUAUUUGGUGUGGCGGGGAAUCAGGACUGUUACUUUGAAAAAAUUAGAGUGUUUAAAGCAGGCUCGCGCUUGAAUACAUUAGCAUGGAAUAAUGAAAUAGGACGUUCGAUCCUAUUUUGUUGGUUUCUAGGAUUGACGUAAUGAUUAAUAGGGAUAGUUGGGGGCAUUAGUAUUCAAUUGUCAGAGGUGAAAUUCUUGGAUUUAUUGAAGACUAACUACUGCGAAAGCAUUUGCCAAGGAUGUUUUCAUUAAUCAAGAACGAAAGUUAGGGGAUCGAAGACGACCAGAUACCGUCGUAGUCUUAACCAUAAACUAUGCCGACUAGGGAUCGGAUGAUGUUAAUUUUUAAUGACUCAUUCGGCGCCUUAC
rnacentral:rRNA from 1 species